AGAAUAUAGUUAACUUAGUGCACUUUCCUUGAAACGUUUGACAAAUACAGUUGAUUCUUAUUCUCAGUUUAUAGAUGGGAAACAGCUUGGAGAGUUUUCUGUGGUUUAACUGAAUUCUCUUAAUACUAAUAGCCCCCUGGCCAUCCAAUCAACACGUAUUUGCAAGCUGUCAUGAUGCAAAAUCGCUCCUUCUGUUUCAAUGCCCUCUUGUGCUCUUUUUUUUUCCUGCUCCAUCAAUUCAACGGCCGCCUGUGGAACAUCAGCAAAGCUCACUGCUGCAGGUUGCAGGACCCGGCAGACAGCAGUUGCUCAAUAAACAUUUUUCAGUGAGUGAGAGAGGAGACAGUCCUCAUUCUUGAGACCAGUGAAGAGAAGACAAAGGAGCAAACCAUGGCAAGAUCCAUGGGAGGCGCUGUGGUGGGGAACAGCAGCAGGCUCAAAGGAGAGACAAGACAGGUCGCCCAGAGGAGGUGACAGAAGCUGGGCGUUGAAGGUGCUACAGGAGUUUGCCCAGAGGGCAAGAGGAGAAGGACGUUCGGCAAGAGGGGAAGGACAUUCAGCAAGAGGAAAGCACCUCUCAGUGCCCGAGAAACCCCAGCAAGUUCCUCCAAGGAAAGGCGGUUGUUUCCAGCCUGUGAUUCUGCACCGAGGCCACCAGCACCUCCCGAGGGGCCAGCACAUGAACGGCCACUGUCAUGAAGCUGGAGCUGACGAGGGGCACAUCCAGUAACAGCAAAAGAGAAAAUAGGAUGCCUUGUCUUUCUAAAGGACACCUCCCAUCCCCACAGGCCUCAGACUGCUGUCUUCACUGGCUCCUGCUGCCCAGGAAAACCCCUUGCAUGCCAGAGGCUUGGGGGCAUAUCACCUCAGAGAGAAAGAGAAACUCCUACGGGGUUUGAAUCGAUCAUCAAGAAGCUAUUUUAGUUUCAUCUACUAUGAAAGCCUGUGGGGUCUCACCCCUUCUGGAUUGCUGAGGAAGGUUGUUCUGAACACGCCGGGGAGUGAGAGAGAGUGAAUAGGCAGGAGAACGUCAGGAUCUCCAGACUUUUAGACAAGGAGGCCCUGGGGCACAAAAAAUAGUCCGAAUGCAUAAGACCUAGUAUUUGCUAGCACAACAGGGUGACUCCCCUCAAAAAUGAUUGAAUCGUACAUUUAAAAAUCGCUAAAGAGUAUAACUGGAUUGUUUGCAACACAAAUGAUAAAUGCUUGAGGGGAUGGAUACUCCAUUUACUCUGCUGUGAUUAUCAUGCACUGCACGCCUGUAUCAAAAUAUCUCAUAAAACCCAUAAAUAUAUCCACCUACUAUGUACUCACAAAAAUUAAAAAUAAAAAAUUAUAUUAAAAAAAGAAGAAAAGGAGGCUCUGACCAGCUGUCUAUCGCCUCUCAGGAAAUCCAGACAACACUUCAAGAAGAAGAAGCUGUAAAGACAAUUUUUAAGAGAAAAUCCUUUUCCAUAGAGUAUUCACAAACUAGGUUUCCACAGCUAGUUUCAUGGCAGUACCAGAUGCCUUUUCAUACAAAUGCUUCAGCCAGCAAAACCUUGCGUAAGAGAAGGGGCAGGAGGCCUUUGAAGUUGGUUGUGUUUUUUUGGGUGGCUUGGAUUUUUCUGGGUGACUGAUUUUCGCAUAUCCAUCUUCUGGUUCUAACUUGGCCUCUACCAAGCCAGUGAUUUAGGCUCUACCUUGUUGCUCAUUAACUAGGAGGAAUGCCUACGGGGCUUAGGUGCUUUCAAGAAAGUUGCCAUUGUAACAAACUGAUUGAUGGUCCUGCUUUUACAGCUCCAACUUGGUUCCAUUUGCCCAAAGAAAUAGAGGUCGCUCUUAUGUACAAUGCACUGAUUAAUCAUGGAUCCCAAGUGAGAGACAAAAGAAUGGGACACCCAGCCACCAAGAGGGUUUCUUCUUUCCCUCCCAGCUCUGGAGCAAAGUCCUAGAUAAAACAUGGAUGCAAUUCCACGUGGGAGCAUCGCUAAAGGAUUUUAGAGAGAAGCCACGGGCGAUAAUAUAGAAAUCCACACUCUAAAGCAAUCGACUGAUACAACUGACAGGUAGAUAGCAUUUAGUUAUUACUGGGACGGCUUAAAUUUAAUACAUUCUUCCAGAAAAAAAUGAAAUAUGCUUCUCACCAACAGGAGGAAGUCACUUUACACUUGCUCAUCAAUAUUUUCUUCUUACAUUGCCUGAUUCCCAAUACUUCAUCUGUUAAAUGUCUUAACUAGCAUUUGCAAAGGAAGAAAUGAACAUGACUUGCUUCUGAGAAAGGAGAGGAGCAAAUUCUUUCAUAAGCUUUACAGGUCGCUUCUGGGUAAAAAUAAAAAGUCCAAGCAUAGAAAUCAGGUGAGAAUCUGGUCAGCCAGGCAUGCUGUGUCUAUGCGGGGGCUGGCUGAGGUUGCAUAACAGAGGGCUAUGCGGGACUGAUCUUGCUC
rnacentral:lncRNA from 10 species